rnacentral:rRNA from 1 species
GACGAGGGGUCCAAGCGUUGUUCGGAAUCAUUGGGCGUAAAGCGGGUGUAGGCGGCUCUAUAAGUCAGGAGUGAAAUCCCCGAGCUUAACUUGGGAAGUGCUUUUGAUACUGUAGAGCUUGAAUGUGGGAGAGGAUCGUGGAAUUCCAGGUGUAGUGGUGAAAUACGUAGAUAUCUGGAGGAACACCGGUGGCGAAGGCGGCGAUCUGGCCCAACAUUGACGCUGAGACCCGAAAGCAUGGGGAUCAAACAGG